rnacentral:rRNA from 1 species
UACGGGGGGGGCAAGCGUUGUUCGGAAUUACUGGGCGUAAAGGGCGCGUAGGCGGUUUGCUAAGUCGAAUGUGAAAACUCUGGGCUUAACCCAGAGCCUGCAUUCGAUACUGGCAGGCUAGAGUUCUGGAGGGGAUAGCGGAAUUCCGUGGUGUAGCGGUGAAAUGCGUAGAUAUCAGGAGGAACACCGGUGGCGAAGGCGGCUAUCUGGACAGAGUCUGACGCUGAGGCGCGAAAGCUAGGGGAGCAAACAGG